UUUUUUCUGUCAAGUGACUUGUUUGUUUCCGUUUUCAAUCAACCGAUGGAAAACCAAAAUUUUGGCCAAAAUAUUCGAAAAAAAAAACAACUGAAGUGUAAGAAACUGUCAGCAAACCGAUUGGUUGAUUCGAUUAGAGUCAGGA
ensembl:ncRNA C48E7.13 ncRNA